rnacentral:tRNA from 1 species
AGAAAUAUGUCCGACAAUAGAGUUACUUUGAUAGAGUAAAACAUAGAGGUUUAAAUCCCCUUAUUUCUA